rnacentral:rRNA from 1 species
GUAGGUGGCAAGCGUUGUCCGGAAUUAUUGGGCGUAAAGCGCGCGCAGGUGGUUUCUUAAGUCUGAUGUGAAAGCCCGCGGCUCAACCGUGGAGGGUCAUUGGAAACUGGGGAACUUGAGUGCAGAAGAGGAAAGUGGAAUUCCACGUGUAGCGGUGAAAUGCGUAGAGAUGUGGAGGAACACCAGUGGCGAAGGCGACUUUCUGGUCUGUAACUGACACUGAGGCGCGAAAGCGUGGGGAGCAAACAGGGAUUAGAUACCCUGGUAGUCCACGCCGUAAACGAUGAGUGCUAAGUGUUAGGGGGUUUCCGCCCCCUUAGUGCUGCAGCUAACGCAUUAAGCACUCCGCCUGGGGAGUACGGCCGCAAGGCUG